rnacentral:misc_RNA from 1 species
CCGAAAGAUCCCGCAGUGCACCGCUUCACGAGCUACGAGGUACCACGGCGCGCCUGACAUCCGAGCGCGUCGCCGCCCCAAACUGCAUCAGCUGCACUUCACAACUGAGCAUCCUUAUCGUACAAGAUCAGCGACCACGACGGCGCAGGAGCUUACACCUCCUCCCCUCUCUGCAUUCGCCUGCGCCACACAGGAAACUAGAUUGACAGUAGUCGCGCGGCACCGUCAUCCAUAUCAGCGAGUCGUCUAGGCGGUGGGCUGCAGCUUCCAUGCCGGCAUCGCCGUCCGAAGCGCACACGACGCUGCAGUCGACCAUGGCAGCCGAGGGUGGUAGUGACGCCGUCUCCUCAUCCCCCCUUGACCACUCCGCCUCUGUCGCGGCUGCUGCAUUGGCGGGCAAUUCCGCCCACUGUGCGAGCAACGCCUCCAUCGCGGUCUUCCUCUUCGCGAAGGAGAAGCUGCUCUUCCGCUACCCCGACACGGACCCCUUUGUUGUGAAUGUGGCCGCGCAGGGCCCCUCCUCCGCCUCGUCUUCUUCGGCGGCGACGGGUGGAUCGGCAGCGGCGGCAGCAGCAGCGGCGGCGGCAGCGGCAGCCGACGCAUCGAGUAAGAAGGCUUCGGGCGAGAGCAACGCGUCUUCCGCCCCCAGCGCCGCGCACGCAGCGCCUUCGCAGCGGGACCGUCAACGCGGCCGUGGCCCCUAUGCCGAGCAAACUAAGAGGGGCGGCGGCGGCGGCAACAACAGCAGCGGUGGCACUCAUGUGGACCCGGACGAUGUCAGCAACACACAGACGCCGACCUCAUCGAUGAACGGCGGUGGCGGCAGUCGACUGAAGAAGUCGCCACACGUGCACGUCACUAUGGCGGUGGAUGUCAAGGACAGUCAUCAAUAUCACGGCACUGGCGGUGCCCACCCGCCAGGUGGGGCCGCUCCAGAUUCCAACGCACCAGUCAGCAGCAGCAGCGGCGUGGCACCGCAGCGCGGAAUGCGGCGGCCAGCCUCCAGCUAUUCCCUGGUGAGCGAUCACGUGAGCAGCAGUGGAGGCAGCUUCGGUCAUGGACACUGCGCCGUAUCAACUGGUGGAGGUGGCACAGCAGCCGCAGAGGGUCGCCGCGGGCUCACAACAAGGGGGCAACUCGGCAACUCGCCAGGUUCGAUGAUCCAAGUUCAGCACACGUCCACUGGAAGCACGCGGCGUCAGUUGUCUGGUGCGGCAGCGGCCGCCGCCUCCUCUAUCAGUGGCUCCUCCAACACGCGCAAGUCGAGCAACGUUUCCGCAGGGGCUGCCGCUGGUAGUGGCGGUGGUCCGGCAUCGGGUGGCGGUCGCAACGGAGCUCCACAGCAGCCGCAACAGCAGGUUGCCACCACGGGUUCUGCCACGUGUGUCGGCAUCGCCCCCAAUGUGCUCAUGCACCUCCUGCGUGGGGCUCUGUGUGGUACCACCACCAUCAACAUGGUCAACUGCACUUUCCUUGUGUUUCCGCUGUCCAUCGGAGCCGCCGCGCCGAACACGUUCAGCGGGCGCGACGGCACAGCAGGUAGCAGUAGCGGUAGCUUCGCCCCCCUUGAUCGUCUGCGGCUGCCACACCGCUCCGGAACGGCGCUCCUCGUAGUCGCGAUGAAGGAGCCAGACACGGACACCGGCGCCAUCGCGAACUUUACUCAGUGCUUCGUGAAUAUUCUGUGCCGCGAGGAACACCGCUGUCAGUACGUGUCCACGGAGCUGGAGCGGAUGGAGAUGCUGACCAACCACUGGGAAGUCGGCGGCGCCGCUGCGUUGGCGAGCGCUGCGGCCGCGGCUGCAGAGAAGCGGCGGCCGCACGGAGAGGAAGCGCAUCAGCAGCCAUUGAUGGCUGGAGGAGCCGGUGAGCCUUCCGGCGCUGGUGGCAGCGCAAUCUCUACGUCGGCGUCCGUCUCGCCUGCGCGAGAUCGCCGCCAUCGCGCGGCCAGUCCCAGAGGUGGUGACGCUGACAUGAGCGCUGGCUCCUCCGGCGACUAUGACUAUCUGUUUUCCGCCUCCCGACCCGCUGUCCGCCACAAGCUUGUGCCCGGUGUGGCCAGCGGUACCGCAAGCGAAAAGACCGUCUUGACAAGCCGCGGCGAUCGCGGCGCUGCAUCGGGGGCUCGCACGAGCCUGCAUCCUGCCUAUAACCAGCAGCAUCACCUUCAUCGCUCGAGAGAGUCCUCACCUUCUGCAGCAUCACAGGGCAGCAUGGCGGGGCCUCUCCUGGAGUGGGCUGAUCCGGACGACGACGCGGACGGUGAUGAUGGUGCGUACCGUGAAGACGGCCGCGAUGCGGACCAUGCCUUCUCGCGCACCGCGUCACCUUCCACUGGGAAAGGCGGAGAGCACAGCAGCAGCCGUCGCGGCUGUUUGUCGCCUGCUGCGACUGCCCCGUCCGCUCUCACCACCUCCGCGUCGUCACGCUCCUUGUACGAGCAGCUCGCCGUGCACGUGCAGCUGGCGUACGAGGUGCUGCGCGUGGCGCAGUGCAUUGACGUCUGGAACCGCACGAUGCGCGGUGGAUGCAGUGCGGGCAACGGCGCCGGUGGAGGAGCACUCGAGGGUGGUUUGUGGGGCAGUAGGACGAGCUGCAUGACGGGUUGCGGUCGUGGCGCCGCCGGUGCAUUACGAGAGCCGCGUCGGCGUCCAUCCAUCGCUGCGGGCUGCGCGCAACAGCAGCAGCAGAUUACCUUCGCCUCCGCUGGCGCUUCCCUCGACACUCUCCCAGAGGCGCUCCUUAUCAAUCACAUGUUGCUGUUGCCCAUGUCUCAUCUCACGGGCGCUGAGCGGCAGGAGGAAACCAACAGUCUGCGCUCGGCCUCCUCCCGCAUCCACCCCUGCAGCGUGCUCACCGUUGAGGCGGACCAGUUCACCGAGCAGCUGCAGCACCGCUAUCUCGACAUGAUGGGGAGGCGCUACGCCAAACUCAUCCCGCUGUCGACGGUGUACGCGUUGCUGCAGGCGCUGCCGUCGCCGCGACGAGCCGGCUCGUUUUACCGAAGUCUUGAACUCGCCUUUCUGGAGGCGGUGCAGCGACGCCACGUCCGUGCCGCUGCGGCGGCGGCGGCGGCGGCGAACAACACCAGCAUCACUAGCGUGAGCGGAGGGUUGGACGUAGGCGUGGCCGCCACCUCGGUGUCGCAGGCAGACCUUCGCGGCAGCCGCGACAUAAUCGACGAGGACCCAAAUGCCCUUCACACAUCCGCAGCGGCGGCGACGGCGGCCACGACAGCUGCCGGGCUCGACUUCCUCGCGAUGGAGAUUAUCGACUUCCUGCGCGUGAACGGCGCCAUCUCGGUAGCGUCGGAGAUGCACGUGUGCUUCACACAUGGCGAGGUGACCCCGGUGGCGUUUCUGGAUGCCGCUGUCGCACGUCGUCGCCGUCAUCGCCUGAAAGCAGAGCAGCGAAAGCUAAAGGCCGCUGCAGCUGCAGUGACAGCACUGAAGGAGCGCGACGAUGGUGACGCUGGCAAACGUAGAAAGCGCCGCGAUCACCGACGCUAUACAGCGCGUGACGCCGAAAUGGACGCGGAGGCAGGUAUCAACGGCGAGGCCGACUCGGCUGUCGCCAAGAUGGGGUUCCGCACACCGCUGAAGGCGAUGGGCGAUUCAGCAAGCGUGAGUCAGAGCUGGAUGUUGUCCCAGACGACGGUCGACGGACCCGCUACCACCGGUGCGACGCCGGAGGCUACGGCUGACCCGUUGGACGCGGUGUUGGACAUGGAGACGGUGCCGGCUGCGCUGGUGUUACACAUGCUCGAGUGCGUCGUCAACACACAGCAACACCGCCAUCAACCACAUCAACAGGAGCAGUACCACUCACUCACUGUGAUCAGCGGCAGUGAUCAGCGUGGGGAGACGGCAACGCCGAUGACAAGCAUGGCAGGACUGCCAAAGACACCGAGCACCGGCAACACGGCGACAGUGGGUAGUGUGCCUGGCCGCACGCCGCGUUUUUGGAGCGCUGACACGAUCUCGGCGGGGAAGCAUUCCUCCCACGUCGGCUACCGGGCCAACGAGCACGACACCUCGCUGCGGCCGUGGGGAGGCCGCAGCGGCACAUUAGCGGCAGCGGGGGCUAGUACCUCGCUCACGCAGGGGUGGCAGGGCAGCCCUCACCUGUCAACCGGAGCAAUGGGCACGAUCUCCUCUCCGAGUCUGCACUUCGCGACACACACGGCCGUCAGCAGUACUCUUCCCCCCGCCGCCACCGCCACUGCGUCACAGCCAGUGUUGUCGCUCGCAGCGCUGGGACCGCUGUCGGUAUACUGUGCGUGGGGAUCGGCAUGCCCCCUGUGCGAGCUACUGAUGGCGCAUCCGCAGUGCUGGACGACGCGAAGCCAUCGCGACUACACGCUGGGCUUCUACACCAUCAAUGCCGCCCGGCCUCGGCACUACAGCAGCGGCCCCGCCAUUCAACUCACCUUCCCGUCCCUCGACGAGAGUGUCUGCACGUGUGCGCGGCGCGCCUGUCAUCUGCGCGACAACGCAGACUUCACGGCUCUCAUGCAGAACAGCUACACUGGAGACGGCAGCAGCAGCAGUCUGCUGCACUCCAUGCAGCCAUGGUUCAUGCGGCCGCACAUUUUCGUCACCCCAGUGACGGCGGCCUACGGUGUGUCGCCGUACGAGGUGUUUGAGCGCAUGUCGUAUCACUGCAAUCGGCUUGGCAGCGGCAGCGGACACAGCCAGCGGCUCCCACACCAUCACCCAUCGCAUUCACCCAUGGCUGGCGAGUCUUCCGCCAUAGCCGCGCCUUUAAUCGGGGUGAACAACACCAGCUCUCUCAUCGACCCCGAUCCUCGCGACCUCCUGCUCAUCUCUCGCGCGCAGGCGCACCCGCACGAGACCUCUGUUGUCACGGCCUGUCGUAACGCCGCCGUCGUCAGCACGAAGGAGCAAGGCCACACGCUCCUGCAGUGCGCCGACAUACCCAAAGCCGCGGUGGAGUACCUUCGCCGCUCCGCUGACGUCAUCAAGCAGCGCCUCGACUACGCGCGGCGACAGCAGAGCCUCCUCGAGCGGUACGAACAAGCGUGGGAACAGCAAAGCACGGCGCCGGCAAGGGCAGCACCACUCGCGUCCACGGCGUCCCCCGCUGCCGCUCCUGACGCGAACCCAGCCGCCCAGCCAGCAAGGUCCGCUGCGGUGGCCGUGGCUAAGCCGGCAUCCAGCUUGGCGAUUCAAGUGUCACAAGGCCACACUGGGCAAGGUGCGGCGAGUUUCAGUAGCCAUGCCGACGCUGCCAGAGGUGGUGGUAGCUCUCCGUCUUCCUCCUCCAUUCCCGUCUCCGCAACCGUGGCGCCACUGGGCAGGAGUGCCAGCCCCCAGCCACGAUCUCUGCGCUACGGCUGCCGCCAGCUUCCCCUGCACACCGCCUCCAGGCCCCUCGCGAAUCAAGCGCUGCUGUUUGAUAGCACCACGCCAGCCGAAAUGAACAGCGUCACCGACACUCUGGCACCACAGCGCCAGCAGGAGCAACAGCGGAACUACACGAGCUCGGCGCACAUCGACCCGCACACGCAGUUUAUCACCAGCGCGUCCGCCGCCACGCCGCUCGCUGGGGUCGGCGGCCUGCUCGGGACGGAGCGCUCUCUCCCAGUGGAAGUUCUGCUGCAGUACGUGCUGCAUCACGUGAUCGCGCUCAGCUGGGGAACGCGCGGACUCGAAGUGGACACGCUGGUGCGUCUCCUCGAGCGCAAUCUGCGCCGUCUUCCGCCGCUACUCGCGAAUCUGCCGUACAUCAUGCAGCUGCGCAGUGCCGGAUACACGAGCGCGUUGGCUGCGGCGGCGUCAGCAAGCCACACAACUGUGAGCAGUGCGGUUGGAGAGGCCACGGCAGCCGUUUCCUCUGCUUUCACCACGGUACACACGCGCCUCGCCGCCCCGUCGUUAUCUUCUUCGGUCCCCGUGCAUGAUGCGGCCCCCCAGGGAUCCUUCCAAGGCACCUCACCAGACAGGUCUGUGACAAGUCCCUACAGCGGCAUGUCGCACGCCGCCACCAGUGCCCCCAUCACAGAGGCAGAGGUACAGCUGCUGCAAGCCUACGAGGUGCUCGAUCAGCUGAGCUUGAUGAAGCUUCUGUCCACGUACGCGACGUGGCCGGUGCGCACGGUGCCGACGCGGCUGCUGCUGCACACGGUGGUGAACGAGUUCAGUGACGUUCUCUACGUGAACAGCUCGGGGCGUAACGGCGAUGCAGAGCAAUGAAGCUUUCCCGUCUCCGCGCCGUGUGGCAGCCCGCUCUCGAUCCGCGUGCAACGCGCACCGCGCGCUGGGCUCGUCCUGUGCGCGUGUGAAGUCGUGCGGCUUCAUGCUUUACUUCUUUAUUUGGUUUUAUGUUGCUGUUGGCUGUCUUGAGCUUGCGCACAGUGCUUGUGUGUGUGUGUGUGUGUUGUUGGCUGCUCUCCUCAACGGUUGCGGCAAUCCCUCUGCUCACGUCCUGAAAAGCAGCGGCGGUUGUGUCUCACACGCAUCCGGGAAGCGGAGAAAGCGAAACAGAAGCAGGCCUGGCAACGGCCUCCGGCAGCGUCGGCUCUUCCCACCGCGCACACGCGGCGAGGGAGUGCGACGAGGAGGUGGUGGGGCGAAAAGGUUCCUGAGCGACUUCUAUCCUGCGCGAUAUCCUUCUACGCAAACUGUUGCCCGGGCCCUCUCCCUUCCAAAUCCCACAAGAUGCAUCCACUUGUGCGAAACACAGCUCGCCCGCCUACCUGCCAUGCUGCGCCUCUCCUCCUCCUCCCUCCCCUCUCCACCCGUUUCUCGAUCAUCGGUAUCCACGCGCACGCCAUACACACGUGCGGGUGUUCAUGUCACCCCACACGCC